rnacentral:misc_RNA from 1 species
AACCUUAUGGACCUGCGGGCGUAUACCUGCGGAAGGAUCAUUACCGAGUUUACAACUCCCAAACCCAAUGUGAACCAUACCAAACUGUUGCCUCGGCGGGGUCACGCCCCGGGUGCGUCGCAGCCCCGGAACCAGGCGCCCGCCGGAGGGACCAACCAAACUCUUUCUGUAGUCCCAUCGCGGACGUUAUUUCUUACAGCUCUGAGCAAAAAUUCAAAAUGAAUCAAAACUUUUAGCAAC